UACGAAGGGUGCAAGCGUUAAUCGGAAUUACUGGGCGUAAAGCGUGCGUAGGCGGUACGUUAAGUCUGCCGUGAAAGCCCUGGGCUCAACCUGGGAACUGCGGUGGAUACUGGCGUGCUGGAGUGCGGUAGAGGAGGGUGGAAUUCCCGGUGUAGCGGUGAAAUGCGUAGAGAUCGGGAGGAACAUCAGUGGCGAAGGCGGCCCUCUGGACCAGCACUGACGCUGAGGCACGAAAGCGUGGGGAGCAAACAGGGAUUAGAUACCCUGGUAGUCCACGCCCUAAACGAUGCGAACUGGAUGUUGGGCACAUUACGGUGCUCAGUGUCGAAGCUAACGCGUUAAGUUCGCCGCCUGGGGAGUACGGUCGCAAGACUGAAACUC
rnacentral:rRNA from 1 species